AAGUCGUAACAAGGUUUCCGUAGGUGAACCUGCGGAAGGAUCAUUAACAAAUCACACUCAUCCUGUAUGGGAUGAGAUGUAAGCUCUCCACUGUGGUGGAUUGCACAUAACAGCAUAUUGUAUAUUGUCCAUGUAUUAUGUAAUCAUCUAACACUUUUAACAAUGGAUCUCUUGGCUCUU
rnacentral:misc_RNA from 1 species